GCGCGAAAACUUUACAAUGCUGGCAACAGCGAUAAGGGAACCUCGAGUGCCAGGUUACAAAUCUGGCUGUCGAGAUGCCUAAAAAGCAUUUCAUAGCAAGGGCCGGGCAAGACCGGUGCCAGCCGCCGCGGUAACACCGGCGGCUCGAGUGGUAACCGUUAUUAUUGGGUCUAAAGGGUCUGUAGCUGGCCGGAUAAGUCUCUUGAGAAAUCUGGCAGCUUAACUGUCAGGCUUUCAGGAGAUACUGUCUGGCUCGAGGCCGGGAGAGGUGAGAGGUACUUCAGGGGUAGGGGUGAAAUCUUGUAAUCCUUGAAGGACCACCAGUGGCGAAGGCGUCUCACCAGAACGGACCUGACGGCAAGGGACGAAAGCCAGGGGCACGAACCG
rnacentral:rRNA from 1 species